GACGAACGCUGGCAGCGCGCCUAACACAUGCAAGUCGAACGGAGAUUACAGGCGGAAGUUUUCGGAUGGAAGCUUGUAAACUUAGUGGCGGACGGGUGAGUAACACGUGAGCAACCUGCCUAUCAGAGGGGGAUAACGACUGGAAACGAUCGCUAAUACCGCAUGACAUAGCGGAACCGCAUGGUUCUGUUAUCAAAGAUUUUAUCGCUGAUAGAUGGGCUCGCGUCCGAUUAGAUAGUUGGUGGGGUAACGGCCUACCAAGUCGACGAUCGGUAGCCGGACUGAGAGGUCGAACGGCCACAUUGGGACUGAGACACGGCCCAGACUCCUACGGGAGGCAGCAGUGGGGGAUAUUGCACAAUGGGGGAAACCCUGAUGCAGCGACGCCGCGUGAGGGAAGACGGUCCUCUGGAUUGUAAACCUCUGUCUUCGGGGACGAAACGAGACGGUACCCGAGGAGGAAGCCACGGCUAACUACGUGCCAGCCGCCGCAGUAAGAC
rnacentral:rRNA from 1 species